UACGUAGGGUGCGAGCGUUAAUCGGAAUUACUGGGCGUAAAGCGUGCGCAGGCGGUUUUGUAAGUCAGCUGUGAAAUCCCCGGGCUUAACCUGGGAACUGCGUUUGAAACUACAAGGCUAGAGUGUGGCAGAGGGGGGUGGAAUUCCACGUGUAGCAGUGAAAUGCGUAGAGAUGUGGAGGAACACCGAUGGCGAAGGCAGCCCCCUGGGUUAACACUGACGCUCAGGCGCGAAAGCGUGGGGAGCAAACAGG
rnacentral:rRNA from 1 species